GUUGACGUCAUGGUGGACUAAUGUAUCUCUCGACAUGUGUAAACAAGGAAAGCAACAUUAGUUUAACGAUGACGUUACAGUAAACUUAACAGUCUAGCCAUAUGAAAACAUGGGAAGGCAUAAUAAUUCGUUUAACGACGACGUCACGGUAAACUUAACAGUCUCGCCAUCUGUAAACAAGGAAAGGAAUAUUAGUUUAAUGAUGACGUCACAGUAAACUUCACAGUCUCGUCAUAUGAAAACAAGGGAAGGAUAUCGAAGAAUGGGGCGCAUCAUUCCGUCCUUUAUUUCCCACGAGCUUUAGACAUGGUAGCCAAAAAGUGCUUCAGUUUGAUCUCAGCGAGGUCUGGUACAAUAUAGAAUGCUUCAAGACACAACAAUUGAGAAGUCAAAAUAAUAAAUUAAAUGCAUGUAACUUU